UUGGAACGCUGGCGGCAUGGCUAAAACAUGCAAGUCGAACGAGAAAGAGGAGCAAUCCUCGAGUAAAGUGGCGAAAGGGUGAGUAAUACGUUUCUACGUGCCUUGAGGUCAGGGAUAGCCAAGGGAAACCUUGGGUAAUACCUGAUGUGGUCUACGGAUCAAAGGCUUGCCGCCUCAAGAGCGGGGAACGUCCUAUCAGCUAGUUGGUGAGGUAACGGCUCACCAAGGCUAAGACGGGUAGCGGUGUGAGAGCACGGCCCGCCACAUCGGAACUGAGACACUGUCCGGACUCCUACGGGAGGCUGCAGUAACGAAUCUUCCGCAAUGCGCGAAAGCGUGACGGAGCAAUGCCGCGUGCAGGAUGAAGCCCUUCGGGUGUAAACUGCUGUCAGGUUUUAGCAAGAAAGUGAGCAAGACCAAAGGAAGAGACGACUAACUCUGUGCCAGCAGUCGCGGUAAUACAGAGGUCUCGAGCGUUCAACGGAUUCAUGGUACG
rnacentral:rRNA from 1 species